rnacentral:rRNA from 1 species
GUUAUAUGGUCAAGUGAAGAAGCGCAUACGGUGGAUGCCUUGGCAGUCAGAGGCGAUGAAAGACGUGGUAGCCUGCGAAAAGCUUCGGGGAGUCGGCAAACAGACUGUGAUCCGGAGAUGUCUGAAUGGGGGAACCCAGCCAUCAUAAGAUGGUUAUCUUGUACUGAAUACAUAGGUGCAAGAGGCGAACCAGGGGAACUGAAACAUCUAAGUACCCUGAGGAAAAGAAAUCAACCGAGAUUCCCUUAGUAGUGGCGAGCGAACGGGGACCAGCCCUUAAGUUGUAUUGAGAUUAGCGGAACGUUCUGGAAAGGACGGCCAUAGUGGGUGAUAGCCCUGUACGCGAAAAUCCCUUUCCAAUGAAAUCGAGUAGGACGGGGCACGAGAAACCUUGCCUGAAUAUGGGGGGACCAUCCUCCAAGGCUAAAUACU